UUCUUGAGCAUCCCGGCCACGGCGCUGCCCAUGCUGAACCGGCCGCUGUUGAGGAUGUUCAUGGCCACCUGCAGGGAGGGGGGGCUCACUGACGGCACCACCCAAGCGUUCUGCUCACCCUGCUGCCUGGGGAAAAGCCCGGGGGCCCUGGGGGACCCCAGGGGACAGAACCCGGUGCUGCUUGUCUGUUUUUCCCCGGUUUCAUGAACACAAAGGGCAAGUCUGGAGAAUUCUGGGCCAGCAUCUGGGAAGGUUACCUGCCCCGCCAAUCCCCACCGGCUGGGUGGGAGAGCGUGUGGUCCCAGCACUUUCCUGCAAGGGAGCUCCAGCCAACCUCCGUGGAGCCACCCCCACGAAGGACGGAAUGUUAUUCCAGAACAGGACAGUUCUCAGCCCUCAAAGAGGAGCAGACAUGAAGCCUACGAGUUCUCUACAGAGCUCAACUUCCAGCGUAUUCCAGCUUUUCACCAGAUGCCUGCAUGUGACUUGGAUGAACCGAUCAUGCAGCUGAACCUGAACUUUUGAUGACCCGUUGACCUGAGCAGGAGAAUCUCGGAGCAGACUUCGUGAGAAUUUCUACAGCUGCACCCUGCCCCGCAGCCUGCCUACAAGCCAGACACGCCCCUCGCUUUCCAGAGCCCCUGCCCGACCGCGCACCUCCUCUGUGCCUCAAAGGUCUGACCGUGGACAAGCCUCAGACUCUCCAGAGGACGCCACGUACUUUCCUCCCACACCAGCCAGGCA